rnacentral:rRNA from 1 species
UACGUAGGGGGCUAGCGUUGUCCGGAAUUAUUGGGCGUAAAGAGCUUGUAGGCGGUUUGUCGCGUCUGCUGUGAAAAUCCGGGGCUCAACCCCGGACUUGCAGUGGGUACGGGCAGACUGGAGUGUGGUAGGGGAGACUGGAAUUCCUGGUGUAGCGGUGGAAUGCGCAGAUAUCAGGAGGAACACCGAUGGCGAAGGCAGGUCUCUGGGCCACUACUGACGCUGAGAAGCGAAAGCAUGGGGAGCGAACAGG